UACGUAGGUGGCAAGCGUUGUCCGGAUUUACUGGGCGUAAAGAGCGCGCAGGCGGUCGUUCAAGUCGCGUGUGAAAGCCCCCGGCUCAACUGGGGAGGGUCACGCGAUACUGAUCGACUCGAAGGCAGGAGAGGGUAGUGGAAUUCCCGGUGUAGCGGUGAAAUGCGCAGAUAUCGGGAAGAACACCCGUGGCGAAGGCGGUUCUCUGGGACGGUACUGACGCUGAGACGCGAAAGCGUGGGGAGCGAACAGG
rnacentral:rRNA from 1 species